rnacentral:rRNA from 1 species
UACAGAGGUCUCAAGCGUUGUUCGGAUUCAUUGGGCGUAAAGGGUGCGUAGGCGGCGCGGUAAGUCGGGUGUGAAAUUUCGAGGCUUAACUUCGAAACUGCAUUCGAUACUGCCGUGCUUGAGGACUGGAGAGGAGACUGGAAUUUACGGUGUAGCGGUGAAAUGCGUAGAUAUCUGGAGGAAUACCGGUGGCGAAGGCGGCAUCCUGGACCGACAUUGACGCUGAGGAGCGAAAGCCAGGGGAGCAAACAGG